UACGUAGGUGGCGAGCGUUGUCCGGAUUUACUGGGCGUAAAGCGUGCGCAGGCGGUUUUGUAAGCCAGAUGUGAAAUCCCCGGGCUUAACCUGGGAAUGGCAUUUGGGACUGCAAGGCUGGAGUGCGGCAGAGGAGACUGGAAUUCCUGGUGUAGCAGUGAAAUGCGUAGAUAUCAGGAGGAAUACCGAUGGCGAAGGCAGGUCUCUGGGCUGACACUGACGCUCAUGCACGAAAGCGUGGGGAGCAAACAGG
rnacentral:rRNA from 1 species